UACAGAGAGUGCAAACGUUGUUCGGAAUUACUGGGCUCGAAGCGCACGUAGGUGGCCAACUAAGUCAGACGUGAAAUCCCUCGGCUUAACCGGGGAACUGCGUCUGAUACUGGAUGGCUUGAGUUUGGGAGAGGGACGCGGAAUUCCAGGUGUAGCGGUGAAAUGCGUAGAUAUCUGGAGGAACACCGGUGGCGAAGGCGGCGUCCUGGACCAACACUGACACUGAUGAGCGAAAGCCAGGGGAGCAAACGGG
rnacentral:rRNA from 1 species